UAUUUUUCUUUGUUUGUGUUUGUUUUCAUUUCAGAGGAAUUUUUUGAGACAGUAAGGAAGAUAAAACAUAAAAUUUGGUGGAUAAGGAUGCAGGAAGGAUCUAGCAGGAGUUUGGGAAAUGAAAUAAUAUCAAAAUAUCAGUAUGGAAAAUUUUAAAGAUGUUGAUGUAGAAAACAAGAUAAUGCAUUCAUGAUAUUAAUGCAACUGAAAUUUAUACAAGUAUUCAAGACCAGAGCAUCCAUUGACUCCUCUUUAUCUUUAAACUUGUCCUAUUUGCCAUGUUGUCUAGUAUUAACAUUAAUUUCUUGUUUUACAUGUGCACAUUCAUGUGCCAUCAGUAUGUAUAUGUGUGUGCUGUGUAUGUAGCAUGUGUUUGUGCAAGUGCAUGUGAUGCCUUUUCAUGUAGAGGCCAGGGUUUGACAUUGUCUGACUUUCUCCAUCACUCUCCAGCUUAUCUAUUGAAGUGGAAUCUCUCCCUUUAACCCAGAGCUUUCCCUCUGCUCUGGAGCUCUCCAGUCCCUGCCUCCCUGUCCUUGGAUGGCUGUCAGUCCUCACACCUGUCAGUUAUCUGUUUAGGGGCUGGGGACCCAGCCUCCCCUUCUCACCCUGUUUUCUCAGCUCUAACAUUAAUUUCUUCUGAACUGAACAAAAUACAUUGAUUGCAAAAUAUCAGAUUGAUCUAUUCAGAUAUGUGAAUUGUUGCUACAAACGUGAUCAUUUUCUAAGUAUUUUAGGACAUUUAAAACACUAGAUUUAGGAAGAAUCCAGUCAGUCUCCAUCCUGGGGACUUAUUAGAAGGACAGUCAAAGCUUUCAAAACCGCCUUGGCAUUUGAGCACCAAAUUCUGCUUGUCAUCUGAUGCUGUUACCCACUUGGACCCCAGUUCUUGCCAAGUGAUAGUUUCCUGCUGUAGACUUAAGCUACUCUUUUCUCUUUUCCUCUGCCUUGGGCUCUGACUCUCUGUAGUCAGAGAAACUAUUCAACCUUCCCUAUGUUGAGUUGGGAAGUUACUUAUACCUUCAGCCAUCCUCAACAAUUGUGAGAUAGGACAGAAAUUUGCAAUUAACAUAUCUUUCCAUUUUAGUAUCCUUCUGAUGAGUGUGUUUGAAGCACAUAAUAAAGAAUUAGUUGACUUCAAGUACAUCAAGGUCAUGAUGUUUCCCAGGACAAUAAAGGUGAAGGAAGGAAGGAGAGAAGCCCCUUUUAAUGGAAGAGAAUUUAACUGGACACAGCAUGGCCACAGCCUUGUGCUACAGGACUGUGAAUUCUUCAGAGUUCAUUUCACUGGGAGAUUGGAAGAUGACUAAAGAGGGCAGUAGUCCCACUAGAAGACCACAGGUUUUGAUAUCAAUAUAAAAAGGAUUUACUCUAUCAGAAGAGGAUACAAUAAAAAGCAAGGCUGAAAGGCGGUGUGAAUUUGUAUUGUGUUCAAGGCACCAGAAGGGUUACUGAGCUCUGUGUCCAUGUAACACUUGAUAAUGGUUUUGGUUUUAAUUUCUCUAUUCUUGUUGGUUGCUGUGACAUCUCAUCUUGGCUCCAAGUUGCAUCUCUCUAGUAACUAGUGUGAUGUAAUAUCUUCUCAUGAGUUUAUUAGUAAUUUUUUUGGUAAGAAAAAAAAAGGUGACUAUUUAAAUGGUGUCUAUUUUUUCUAUUGUGUUAUUUGACUUUUCAAUUGAUAAAUAAAGUCUAGAGAAGAGACUUUGUCAAAAGUGUAUUGCAAAUGCCUGUCCAAUUCCAUGACCUAUUUUCUGUGACUGUACCAAUGAUGUGUUUUAAGAACAGAAUUUAUGAAUUUAUUGAGGUACAACUUACCCCUUUUUAUGCUUGGUAAUGUCAAUGUCCUACUUAAGAAACCAUUUCUAGGCCUAAUCCAGAAAGCAAUAUUAAAUCUUUUAGAAGUAUAUUCUUUAUCUGUCAGGCUUUAUGUUUUCAUGUGGACAUACAACUAAAGCAACCCCUUGAAGGAAAGGACAAUUCCAGUAUUAUUGUUAUUUUUCUCUUAUAAAUUUUGCAUUGCAAAACUGUGACUAUUUCUACAAUUUGAUCUGUUCUGUUAGUUGGUGUUUAGUCCAGUAUUGUCAUACUGGCCCACUCAUAUGAAGUUUUCAUUUGGAUUACCAUAGCUUUUAAAUAAGUUUUGAUAGUCAACAAAAUAAUCAUUCAACUUUGUUCAUCAAAAUUACCUUGGCUUAUUUUAACUUUUUCUGUUUAUAAGAAAAUUUUAUAAUUAAUAUUUCAGUUUCAACCAAAGAAGAGAAAUUUGUGUGAGGAAUUCAUUAAAUUUGUAAACUAAUUUAAAAUAUUAUCUAUCAUAUAGAUUCUAACUCUUGUACUUGCUAUAUACUGCAUAUGAAUUAUUGCAUUCCUUGUUUCAUUUUUAUGAAAACCUUAAAGAAAAAUGAUGAUAAAACUGAAA